GAUGAACGCUGGCGGCGUGCUUAACACAUGCAAGUCGAACGAUGAUCUCCAGCUUGCUGGGGGGAUUAGUGGCGAACGGGUGAGUAACACGUGAGUAACCUGCCCUUGACUCUGGGAUAAGCCUGGGAAACUGGGUCUAAUACCGGAUAUGACUUCUCAUCACAUGGUGGGGGGUGGCAAGCUUUCUGUGGUUUUGGAUGGACUCGCGGCCUAUCAGCUUGUUGGUGGGGUAAUGGCCUACCAAGGCGACGACGGGUAGCCGGCCUGAGAGGGUGACCGGCCACACUGGGACUGAGACACGGCCCAGACUCCUACGGGAGGCAGCAGUGGGGAAUAUUGCACAAUGGGCGCAAGCCUGAUGCAGCGACGCCGCGUGAGGGAUGACGGCCUUCGGGUUGUAAACCUCUUUCAGUAGGGAAGAAGCCCUCUUUGGGGGUGACGGUACUUGCAGAAGAAGCGCCGGCUAACUACGUGCCAGCAGCCGCGGUAAGAC
rnacentral:rRNA from 1 species